AAAAAAUCAGUUUCUCCAUCAAAUCAACUCCUCAUCAAGUGCAUAAGAACGUGUAGUAGUUGUUGAAAAGAAACAAGAGGGUGUAGCACCUCAAUAGAGUUGAAGUUUCGGCCAAGGUGAAGAACAAGAUUGAAAGGAUAAGUGCUAUUGGGCAGCAAGUACAAGUUAUAAUACGACUAAACGCUAAAGGUACAGACGCUCGUUUUGGAGAUCCGCCAGUCUAGGAUAUCUAUUCAGCUAUUUUGAAGUGCUCCUUUGUUCCGGAGUCUAGCUUGUGGUAUAACUCCCUUUUGUUGUAUAAGUAUGUGUUUAUUUGGGUACGACGGGGCCCUGUCCCGUCAUAUGAUUCUGUUUGUCUGUUUAGAGGUCUGUGGACUUAUAU